rnacentral:tRNA from 1 species
GCACCCGGUAGCUUAACCCGGUAGAGCACUCCACUCAUAAUGGGGUUGGUGUCGGUUCAACUCCGAUCCGGGGCU